UACGGAGGGUGCAAGCGUUAAUCGGAAUUACUGGGCGUAAAGCGUGCGUAGGCGGUUCGUUAAGUCUGUUGUGAAAGCCCCGGGCUCAACCUGGGAAUGGCAAUGGAUACUGGCGAGCUAGAGUGUGUCAGAGGAUGGUGGAAUUCCCGGUGUAGUGGUGGAAUGCGUAGAUAUCGGGAGGAACACCAGUGGCGAAGGCGGUUGCCUGGAGCUUUGCUGACGCUGAGGCGCGAAAGCGUGGGGAGCGAUCCGG
rnacentral:rRNA from 1 species